rnacentral:rRNA from 1 species
UACGUAGGCAGCAAGCGUUGUUCGGAAUUACUGGGCGUAAAGGGCGCGUAGGCGGCCUACUAAGUCGGACGUGAAAUCCCUCGGCUCAACCGAGGAACUGCGUCCGAUACUGGCAGGCUGGAAUCCGGGAGAGGGAUGUGGAAUUCCAGGUGUAGCGGUGAAAUGCGUAGAUAUCUGGAGGAACACCGGUGGCGAAGGCGGCAUCCUGGACCGGCAUUGACGCUGAGGCGCGAAAGCCAGGGGAGCCAAACGGG